CGAACACUGGUGUGUUCUCAAGUGCCAUGUCUAUCGUAAAAAGUUUUGUCAACGAUAUUCUUGAGAGAAUCGUCACAAAAGCUUCCCGUCUGCACCAAUUUGAAAAGAGAUCUAUCAUCACUUCACGGUAGAUCCAGACUGCAGUAGGUCUUCUCUUAACCUGAUAAAACGGUCAGGCACACCGUAGGAUAAGGUACCAACGCCGUAACAAAGUACACCAGCAACAAGUUAAUGUGUAGUAGUUAACAAAUUACCGAUUCAGGCGCGAUAUUUACAAUGCAAACCCUAUUGGAGUGAAGUUAACCUCCUAGGUUGAUAAAGUCAUUAUGGCUAUGAUUUGGCCCAUAAAGAUAGAUUUACUUGUAAGUUACUUUACAGAACAAUCAUAUUUUAUCUGUCUAGACUUUUCAACCCUAUAUCAAUUUGCUAAGCUAAGGAUAUUGUUUGAAAACAUGUGAUAAAAUCAUAACCUAAAAAUCUAUUUUAGUAGUUACCAAAUUACCGAUUCUGGUGCAAUAUUUACAAUGCAAACCCUAUGGGAGUGAAGUUCACCUCCUUGGUGUAUAAAGUCAUUAUGGCGGACGAGUUGCCCCAUAAAGAUAAAAGUAUCUGUAAGUUACUUUCACAGAAUCAAUAAUGUUCUUAUCUGUAGCUAGAGAAUUGUCAACCUUAUGCCAAUAUUUAGUACCCAUUGAUAUGUUUUCCAACAUUUUUGUUAUCGUGUUGACCAACGAAGGCUUAAAACAAAGAAAAACACUGAAGAGUAAAUACAAAUAUCUUUAUUCAAUUAAGUAAUAAGUUAGCUACACGUACCACUUCGUUGAUUUUAACGACAUUGACUGGCAGUUAUGCCCUCAUACCAUCCGCUAUAUGUCCCAACUGCAUGUGGUAAGCAUUAAAAUCCUGUUGGUGUCCAGAUGAAAAAAGUGGCAAGUUCGGUUUUAUUUAGAUAUAUUCAGUUUGUCACUAGGAGGUGAUCCAUCACGUCUGUUCGGCUGUAAAGACUGAGACAUGAUGGAAUUAACCAGUUAACGUAGUAGUUGUAGAUGUCGUAAACACGUCAAGGAGACCAAUUACUUGUAAAUCCAGGAAACUAGCUGGCCGGGUUUUAAACUUCAUCGACACUCAUCCAUUUUGAUCUACAGUAUGGGCACACACGGAGUCUGUUUCGCCAGCUCCUCAAACAGGCUGAAUGCACACCAUGACAGCAAUAUAUAUUGAUGGUGAUAUCCUGUGUUUGGUUAACUGUCGUCCGCCUCAUUGUUUCGGAAUGGUUUCUAGACAGAUAGGACACUCAGUAUUCUUUAUCAUGUUAGUACAUGUACCAGAAGGGCAAGACAUACACAUUGAUUCGGUUGAUACGUUAUCCAUGUUGUAUAUACUCUUCAUAGCAAAUCCGAUCCACCUUCGUCUGCAAAUUAAAACUGACUGCCACGAAAUAGAAAUGGGAAAACACUCUAAUAAUACAAAAAGUACGAACACUGGUGUGUUCUCAAGUGCCAUGUCUAUCGUAAAAAGUUUUUUCAACGAUAUUCUUGAGAGAAUCGUCACAAAAGCUUCCUGUCUCAAACAAUUUGACAAGACAUCUAUCAUCACUUCUCAGUAGAACCAGACUGCAGUAGGUCUGAUCUUAACCGAAGAAAUAGGCCAAGCACACCAUAGGUUAAGGUACCAAAGCCUUAGCAAAGUACACCAGCAACAAGUUAAUAUAGUAGUUGUAGUAGUUACCAAAUUACCGAUUCUGGUGCAAUAUUUACAAUGCAAACCCUAUGGGAGUGAAGUUCACCUCCUUGGUUGAUAAAGUCAUUAUGGCUAACGAUUUGCCACAUAAAGAUAGAUUUACUUGUAAGUUACUUUCACAGAAUCAAUCAUGUUUUAUCUGUAGCUAGAGAAUUGUCAACCUUAUGCCAAUAUUUAGUACCCAUUGAUAUGUUUUCCAACAUUUUUGUUAUCGUGUUGACCAACGAAGGCUUAAAACAAAGAAAAACACUGAAGAGUAAAUACAAAUAUCUUUAUUCAAUUAAGUAAUAAGUUAGCUACACGUACCACUUCGUUGAUUUUAACGACAUUGACUGGCAGUUAUGCCCUCAUACCAUCCGCUAUAUGUCCCAACUGCAUGUGGUAAGCAUUAAAAUCCUGUUGGUGUCCAGAUGAAAAAAGUGGCAAGUUCGGUUUUAUUUAGAUAUAUUCAGUUUGUCACUAGGAGGUGAUCCAUCACGUCUGUUCGGCUGUAAAGACUGAGACAUGAUGGAAUUAACCAGUUAACGUAGUAGUUGUAGAUGUCGUAAACACGUCAAGGAGACCAAUUACUUGUAAAUCCAGGAAACUAGCUGGCCGGGUUUUAAACUUCAUCGACACUCAUCCAUUUUGAUCUACAGUAUGGGCACACACGGAGUCUGUUUCGCCAGCUCCUCAAACAGGCUGAAUGCACACCAUGACAGCAAUAUAUAUUGAUGGUGAUAUCCUGUGUUUGGUUAACUGUCGUCCGCCUCAUUGUUUCGGGAAUGGUUUCUAGACAGAUAGGACACUCAGUAUUCUUUAUCAUGUUAGUACAUGUACCAGAAGGGCAAGACAUACACAUUGAUUCGGUUGAUACGUUAUCCAUGUUGUAUAUACUCUUCAUAGCAAAUCCGAUCCACCUUCGUCUGCAAAUUAAAACUGACUGCCACGAAAUAGAAAUGGGAAAACACUCUAAUAAUACAAAAAGUACGAACACUGGUGUGUUCUCAAGUGCCAUGUCUAUCGUAAAAAGUUUUGUCAACGAUAUUCUUGAGAGAAUCGUCACAAAAGCUUCCCGUCUGCACCAAAUUUUAAAGAGACCUAUCAUCACUUCAUGGUAGAUCCAGACUGCAGCAGGUCUUCUCUUAACCUGAGAAAACGGUCAGGCACACCGUAGGUUAAGGUACCAAAGCCGUAACAAAGUACACAGCAACAAGUUUUAUGUGUAGUAGUUACCAAAAAUUACCGAUUCUGGCGCAAUAUUUACAAUGCAAAACCCUAUUGGAGUGAAGUUAACCUCCUAGGUUGAUAAAGUCAUUAUGGCUAACGAUUUGCCACAUAAAGAUAGAUUUAUUUGUAAGUUACUUUCACAGAAUCAAUCAUGUUUUAUGUAGUAGUUACCAAAUUACCGAUUCUGGUGCAAUAUUUACAAUGCAAACCCUAUGGGAGUGAAGUUCACCUCCUUGGUGUAUAAAGUCAUUAUGGCGGACGAGUUGCCCCAUAAAGAUAAAAGUAUCUGUAAGUUACUUUCACAGAAUCAAUAAUGUUCUUAUCUGUAGCUAGAGAAUUGUCAACCUUAUGCCAAUAUUUAGUACCCAUUGAUAUGUUUUCCAACAUUUUUGUUAUCGUGUUGACCAACGAAGGCUUAAAACAAAGAAAAACACUGAAGAGUAAAUACAAAUAUCUUUAUUCAAUUAAGUAAUAAGUUAGCUACACGUACCACUUCGUUGAUUUUAACGACAUUGACUGGCAGUUAUGCCCUCAUACCAUCCGCUAUAUGUCCCAACUGCAUGUGGUAAGCAUUAAAAUCCUGUUGGUGUCCAGAUGAAAAAAGUGGCAAGUUCGGUUUUAUUUAGAUAUAUUCAGUUUGUCACUAGGAGGUGAUCCAUCACGUCUGUUCGGCUGUAAAGACUGAGACAUGAUGGAAUUAACCAGUUAACGUAGUAGUUGUAGAUGCCGUAAACACGCCAAGGAGACCAAUUACUUGUAAAUCCAGGAAACUAGCUGGCCGGGUUUUAAACUUCAUCGACACUCAUCCAUUUUGAUCUACAGUAUGGGCACACACGGAGUCUGUUUCGCCAGCUCCUCAAACAGGCUGAAUGCACACCAUGACAGCAAUAUAUAUUGAUGGUGAUAUCCUGUGUUUGGUUAACUGUCGUCCGCCUCAUUGUUUCGUGAAUGGUUUCUAGACAGAUAGGACACUCAGUAUUCUUUAUCAUGUUAGUACAUGUACCAGAAGGGCAAGACAUACACAUUGAUUCGGUUGAUACGUUAUCCAUGUUGUAUAUACUCUUCAUAGCAAAUCCGAUCCACCUUCGUCUGCAAAUUAAAACUGACUGCCACGAAAUAGAAAUGGGAAAACACUCUAAUAAUACAAAAAGUACGAACACUGGUGUGUUCUCAAGUGCCAUGUCUAUCGUAAAAAGUUUUGUCAACGAUAUUCUUGAGAGAAUCGUCACAAAAGCUUCCCGUCUGCACCAAAUUUUAAAGAGACCUAUCAUCACUUCAUGGUAGAUCCAGACUGCAGCAGGUCUUCUCUUAACCUGAGAAAACGGUCAGGCACACCGUAGGUUAAGGUACCAAAGCCGUAACAAAGUACACCAGCAACAAGUUAAUGUGUAGUAGUUACCAAAUUACCGAUUCUGGCGCAAUAUUUACAAUGCAAACCCUAUUGAAGUGAAGUUAACCUCCUAGGUUGAUAAAGUCAUUAUGGCUAACGAUUUGCCCC
rnacentral:lncRNA from 1 species